rnacentral:misc_RNA from 1 species
GUUGUGCUGGAACGUUACUCUAAUAAAUAAGAUCUUGUAGUAAAGGUUAAGUUUUUUUCAAUUUAUUUUUAUCAUGCUUCUACUUGUGGCGCCAUCUAUCGGCAUGUUUCAACACUUCGUGACUAUUGGUGUUUCAUAUCGGCGUUUUCUCUAACGGACUUGAUAGAUGCCGCUGAUGUUUUUUGGUAAUUAUUGAUCUUUCUUUAAUAAAAUCAAUUUAAUUGUAAUUAGAAAUUCUAAAUUUAAUAUUCCUGUCUACUCCUUAAAUUAUAAAAUAAUUUAAUAUCUAAAUUUAAACUUAAUAAUUUAUAAAAAUACAGACUAUGCUUAACGCAUACUUUGCUUUUUCAUACUUGACUUUUGCUUGUCAAUAUUCCCGAGCGCGGGAAGGAGCGCCUUGCUCGCGUGUCUUUGCUUCUUUUUCUUUGCACUUCGUUGCCGCCGAACCUCGAGACCUAACCUCGACCCUAACUCGGCUUAAAUCCCGCUGGGGAUUUAUUUUUACUUUAAGAUUUAUAUCUUUAAUUAUACUUUGCUACAAAUCGAGUCACUGCCCUCGAUUAAUAACGGGCUGACUGAUUACCGG